AUUGAACGCUGGCGGCAGGCCUAACACAUGCAAGUCGAACGAGUGGCGGACGGGUGAGUAAUGUCUGGGAAACUGCCCGAUGGAGGGGGAUAACUACUGGAAACGGUAGCUAAUACCGCAUACCAUCGGAUGUGCCCAGAUGGGAUUAGCUAGUAGGUGGGGUAACGGCUCACCUAGGCGACGAUCCCUAGCUGGUCUGAGAGGAUGACAAGCAAACCUGGAACGGAGACACGGUCCAGCCGCCUACGUGAGGCAGCAGGGGGGAAUAUUGCACAAUGGGCGCAAGCCUGAGACAGCCAUGCCGCGUGUAUGAAGAAGGCCUUCGGGUUGUAAAGUACUUUCAGCGGUGAUGCGUUACCCGCAGAAGAAGCACCGGCUAACUCCGUGCCAGCAGCCGCGGUAAUAC
rnacentral:rRNA from 1 species